AUGAGAUAUUUUCGAGAUCACGGCCUAAUGUGUUUGCAGUGGGAUGCUGGUGCAGCAAAUUCAUUCAUUUCUCCUCUCUCACAAUGGCCCAUUUGAUGGUCUUCAUGGGCAGGGCUCCCAACCGCCUGGCUAAAUAAACAGACGCUGUAUAUCACUUGCAAUGCCGAAGAAGCCAUUCCGCUUUAUCUCCUGGUCUGUUUCCUGCGUGCUGAUCGGUGCAUCCUGAAAAUCUGCUGAACCCCACCCUCUCCAUCCGGUCUGCUGCUCCCGCACCUUUCAGCACUGCACACCGCAUACAAAACACAGUGAGCUCCCCGUGCAGGGAGUAGUCGGCAAGGUAAGUGGUCGCUGGAGGAUUUGCAAAGGAAGAAGUUUCACUGAAAACAUUCAACGUGAACUCUUAAAAAUAAAGGUGCUUUAUGAUGCCGUAAGAACCUUUUUUUGUCUAAAUGGUUCCAUAAAGAACAUUUAAAAUCCUAAAACCUUUCUGUUUCAUAAAAGGUUAUUUAUGGCGAAAAAAGGUUCUUCAGAUGAUAAAAAGGUAAGAAAGAGCUGGUUCUUUAAAGAACCUUUGAUUGAAU